rnacentral:rRNA from 1 species
AGUGAACGCUGGCGGUAGGCCUAACACAUGCAAGUCGAACGGCAGCACAGUAAGAGCUUGCUCUUACGGGUGGCGAGUGGCGGACGGGUGAGGAAUACAUCGGAAUCUACUUUUUCGUGGGGGAUAACGUAGGGAAACUUACGCUAAUACCGCAUACGACCUACGGGUGAAAGCAGGGGAUCUUCGGACCUUGCGCGAUUGAAUGAGCCGAUGUCGGAUUAGCUAGUUGGCGGGGUAAAGGCCCACCAAGGCGACGAUCCGUAGCUGGUCUGAGAGGAUGAUCAGCCACACUAGAACUGAGACACGGUCCAGACUCCUACGGGAGGCAGCAGUGGGGAAUAUUAGACAAUGGGCGCAAGCCUGAUCCAGCCAUACCGCGUGGGUGAAAAAGGCCUUCGGGUUGUAAAGCCCUUUUGUUGGGAAAGAAAAGCAGCAGGUUAAUACCCCGCUGUUCUGACGGUACCCAAAGAAUAAGCACCGGCUAACUUCGUG